rnacentral:rRNA from 1 species
AUUGAACGCUGGCGGCAUGCCUUACACAUGCAAGUCGAACGGCAGCACGGGUGCUUGCACCUGGUGGCGAGUGGCGAACGGGUGAGUAAUAUAUCGGAACAUACCCUAGAGUGGGGGAUAACGUAGCGAAAGUUACGCUAAUACCGCAUACGAACUAAGGUUGAAAGUGGGGGAUCGCAAGACCUCAUGCUCAUGGAGUGGCCGAUAUCUGAUUAGCUAGUUGGUGAGGUAAAGGCUCACCAAGGCGACGAUCAGUAGCUGGUUUGAGAGAACGACCAGCCACACUGGAACUGAGACACGGUCCAGACUCCUACGGGAGGCAGCAGUGGGGAAUUUUGGACAAUGGGGGCAACCCUGAUCCAGCAAUGCCGCGUGAGUGAAGAAGGCCUUCGGGUUGUAAACUGCUUUUGUACGGAACGAAACGGUCCUGGUUAAUACCUGGGGCUAAUGACGGUACCGUAAGAAUAAGCACCGGCUAACUACGUGCCAGCCGCCGCGGUAAAAC